GCCUCUAUAGAUUAAUGUUCAAUCACCUCCGCUGCGUGGCGCAUGACGGAUAAUUCGGAGGAGACGUAGGUUCGAGUCCUACUGGAGGCG